rnacentral:rRNA from 1 species
UACGUAGGGUGCGAGCGUUAAUCGGAAUUACUGGGCGUAAAGCGUGCGCAGGCGGUUUUGUAAGCCAGAUGUGAAAUCCCCCGGGGCUUAACCUGGGGAAUGGCAUUUGGGACUGCAAGGCUGGAGUUGCGGCAGAGGAGACUGGAAUUCCUGGUGUAGCAGUGAAAUGCGUAGAUAUCAGGGAGGAAUACCGAUGGCGAAGGCAGGUCUCUGGGCUGACACUGACGCUCAUGCACGAAAGCGUGGGGAGCAAACGAGG